rnacentral:lncRNA from 1 species
GGGCAUCUCAUGUCCGUCAAGGACCGGAGACCACCCUCAUUUCCUAUUCAACAAAACACAACACACACUAACAUGGACUGAAGUUCAAAAAUAUAACAAGAUAAAGUAACAUAAGUUCAAAGAUUCAAAGUCAUAUCAAUUGCCACCAACUUAUACCGAUAACAAAUACCAACUACCAGUAUAACACCCAAGUCCACAGUACCCACAAAGUCUCUAACAAAAUCAAAUACCAAUAAAGUGUCGGGAUAUGCC